AGUGGGAGCACAGAGCAAUCUGUGUGACUGCGUACCUUUUGUAUAAUGGGUCAGCGACUUAUAUUCUGUAGCAAGGUUAACCGAAUAGGGGAGCCGAAGGGAAACCGAGUCUUAACUGGGCGUUAAGUUGCAGGGUAUAGACCCGAAACCCGGUGAUCUAGCCAUGGGCAGGUUGAAGGUUGGGUAACACUAACUGGAGGACCGAACCGACUAAUGUUGAAAAAUUAGCGGAUGACUUGUGGCUGGGGGUGAAAGGCCAAUCAAACCGGGAGAUAGCUGGUUCUCCCCGAAAGCUAUUUAGGUAGCGCCUCGUGAAUUCAUCUCCGGGGGUAGAGCACUGUUUCGGCAAGGGGGUCAUCCCGACUUACCAACCCGAUGCAAACUGCGAAUACCGGAGAAUGUUAUCACGGGAGACACACGGCGGGUGCUAACGUCCGUCGUGAAGAGGGAAACAACCCAGACCGCCAGCUAAGGUCCCAAAGUCAUGGUUAAGUGGGAAACGAUGUGGGAAGGCCCAGACAGCCAGGAUGUUGGCUUAGAAGCAGCCAUCAUUUAAAGAAAGCGUAAUAGCUCACUGGUCGAGUCGGCCUGCGCGGAAGAUGUAACGGGGCUAAACCAUGCAC
rnacentral:rRNA from 1 species